GAUGAAGAACGUAGCGAAAUGCGAUACGUAAUGUGAAUUGCAGAAUUCAGUGAAUCAUCGAGUCUUUGAACGCACAUUGCGCCCUCUGGUAUUCCGGAGGGCAUGCCUGUCCGAGCGUCAUUGCUGCCCUCAAGCACGGCUUGUGUGUUGGGCUCCGUCCCCCGAUCCCGGGGGACGGGCCCGAAAGGCAGCGGCGGCACCGCGUCCGGUCCUCGAGCGUAUGGGGCUUUGUCACCCGCUCUGUAGGCCCGGCCGGCGCUUGCCGAUCAACCAAAUUUUUAUCCAGGUUGACCUCGGAUCAGGUGGGGAUACCCGCUGAACUUAAGCAUAUCAAUAAGCGGAGGA
rnacentral:misc_RNA from 1 species